UAGGGAAUCUUCGGCAAUGGGGGGAACCCUGACCGAGCAACGCCGCGUGAGUGAAGAAGGUUUUCGGAUCGUAAAGCUCUGUUGUUAAGGAAGAACGAGUGUGAGAAUGGAAAGUUCAUGCUGUGACGGUACUUAACCAGAAAGGGACGGCUAACUACGUGCCAGCAGCCGCGGUAAUACGUAGGUCCCGAGCGUUGUCCGGAUUUAUUGGGCGUAAAGCGAGCGCAGGCGGUUAGAAAAGUCUGAAGUGAAAGGCAGUAGCUAAACCAGUGUAGGCUUUGGAAACUGUUUAACUUGGGUGCAGAAGGGGAGAGUGGAAUUCCAUGUGUAGCGGUGAAAUGCGUAGAUAUAUGGAGGAACCCCGGUGGCGAAAGCGGCUCUCUGGUCUGUAACUGACGCUGAGGCUCGAAAGCGUGGGGAGCGAACAGG
rnacentral:rRNA from 1 species